UACGGGGGGGGCAAGCGUUGUUCGGAAUUACUGGGCGUAAAGCGUGCGCAGGCGGUCUUGCAAGACAGAUGUGAAAUCCCCGGGCUCAACCUGGGAACUGCAUUUGUGACUGCAAGGCUGGAGUGCGGCAGAGGGGGAUGGAAUUCCGCGUGUAGCAGUGAAAUGCGUAGAUAUGCGGAGGAACACCGAUGGCGAAGGCAAUCCCCUGGGCCUGCACUGACGCUCAUGCACGAAAGCGUGGGGAGCAAACAGG
rnacentral:rRNA from 1 species